GACGAACGCUGGCGGCGUGCUUAACACAUGCAAGUCGAACGGAAAGGCCCUGCUUUUGUGGGGUGCUCGAGUGGCGAACGGGUGGGUAACACGUGAGUAACCUGCCCUUGACUUUGGGAUAACUUCAGGAAACUGGGGCUGAUACCGGAUAGGAGCUCCUGCUGCAUGGUGGGGGUUGGAAAGUUUCGGCGGUUGGGGAUGGACUCGCGGCUUAUCAGCUUGUUGGUGGGGUAGUGGCUUACCAAGGCUUUGACGGGUAGCCGGCCUGAGAGGGUGACCGGCCACAUUGGGACUGAGAUACGGCCCAGACUCCUACGGGAGGCAGCAGUGGGGAAUAUUGCACAAUGGGCGGAAGCCUGAUGCAGCAACGCCGCGUGCGGGAUGACGGCCUUCGGGUUGUAAACCGCUUUCGCCUGUGACGAAGCGUGAGUGACGGUAAUGGGUAAAGAAGCACCGGCUAACUACGUG
rnacentral:rRNA from 1 species